CGGGGNGAAGAUAAGACGGAUUAGCGGCGGACGGGUGAGUAACACGUGAGUAACCUGCCUUUUACACAGGGAUAGCCUCGGGAAACCGGGAUUAAAACCUGAUGAAACUAUCAAAUCACAUGAUUAAGAAAGUUAAAACUCCGGUGGUAAAAGAUGGACUCGCGUCCCAUUAGCUAGUUGGUGAAGGUAACGGCCCACCAAGGCAACGAUGGGUAGCCGGCCUGAGAGGGUGAACGGCCACAUUGGAACUGAGAAACGGUCCAAACUCCUACGGGAGGCAGCAGUC
rnacentral:rRNA from 1 species